rnacentral:rRNA from 1 species
GUAUCACUUAAAGCGAUUCAGCGGGUUACGAUUGACGGAGCGAAGCGACGUCAAAGCGUAUACAAAGUCGAGUCGGUUUAAGGAUACGUUCGUUGGGUAGGGGAGCGUUCUGUAAGCCUGUGAAGGUGGCCUGUGAGGGUUGCUGGAGGUAUCAGAAGUGCGAAUGCUGACAUAAGUAACGAUAAAGCGGGUGAAAAGCCCGCUCGCCGGAAGACCAAGGGUUCCUGUCCAACGUUAAUCGGGGCAGGGUGAGUCGACCCCUAAGGCGAGGCCGAAAGGCGUAGUCGAUGGGAAACGGGUUAAUAUUCCCGUACUUGGUGUUACUGCGAAGGGGGGACGGAGAAGGCUAUGUUGGCCGGGCGACGGUUGUCCCGGUUUAAGCGUGUAGGUGUGUGUUCCAGGUAAAUCCGGUUCACUUUAACACUGAGGCGUGAUGACGAGGCACUACGGUGCUGAAGCAACAAAUGCCCUGCUUCCAGGAAAAGCCUCUAAGCAUCAGGUAACACGAAAUCGUACCCCAAACCGACACAGGUGGUCAGGUAGAGAAUACCAAGGCGCUUGAGAGAACUCGGGUGAAGGAACUAGGCAAAAUGGUGCCGUAACUUCGGGAGAAGGCACGCUGACACGUAGGUGAAGUGAUUUACUCACGGAGCUGAAGUCAGUCGAAGAUACCAGCUGGCUGCAACUGUUUAUUAAAAACACAGCACUGUGCAAACACGAAAGUGGACGUAUACGGUGUGACGCCUGCCCGGUGCCGGAAGGUUAAUUGAUGGGGU